CGCGUAGGCGGUAAUGAAAGUCAGAUGUGAAAUACUUCGGCUCAACUGAAGAACUGCAUCUGAAACUUCAUAACUAGAGUACGGAAGAGGGAAAUGGAAUUCCCGGUGUAGAGGUGAAAUUCGUAGAUAUCGGGAGGAACACCAGUGGCGAAGGCGAUUUCCUGGUCUGGUACUGACGCUGAGGCGCGAAAGUGUGGGGAGCAAAACA
rnacentral:rRNA from 1 species